GUCUACCCCUAACAAGGCGAAGGGUCAAGGGGUCACCUAAGACAAUGCGGUGUUUAAUGAAGGGCUCACAUCUUGGCAUUUGUCAACGGUCUGCUCCUGCAUUCCGAUAGUUUCUCAGGCUUUUCCGGACAUUUGUAAUUUAAUCAGCGCAACAUUGUCUAUCGUGAAUCUAUGGAAAAAUAUACACGUAACCUCAAAGUGGGCCAACUAACAAGCAACCUAACCUUAAAAUGAGGGUAACUAACGGUGAAGCCAAUUACAAGCGGCAAACAAAAAGCAAUAAUAAAAUCAAAUUCAAACAUGCACACGUAUGCAUGUGUGUAUGUGUGCAAGUAUGUGUGUGUUUGUGUUUUUGACAAUGCAAUAAAUGAGCAACUUUUCAAAACGAAAGUGUCGAUAGGCGGCGGUUCGUACAUCCAAACAACAACAACAACAACAAGAAGCCAACGCAGGAGAGACAGAGAGGCAGAAAGCAAACGGUAGCUAAAAAGGAAGUGCCAUAAAAAUGCAAUUUUAGAUUUCAUCAACUGAUAAGAAAAGUUUUCAAAUUAGCCACAAAAUGGAAUAUGAAAUACGAAUAUUGCGAAUGAAAACUGUAAAAUGAACAACAACAACAAUAAGAACUUAUACUCAUAUGCUUGAUUAGAAAACAAAACAAGUGUGCUUCAGUUGGGUGUACCCGACUAGAAGCUGCCCUGGCGGGAGAUAUCCAAAACGUGUUUCUGGUUUCGACAUACGCUGAAAUGACUCUUAUAUGAUAUUGAUGCGUUCAUACAUACGAACUGAAGGACAGAUAUGUUUACAUCGACUUGGCUGCUUAUAAUGAACGAGAAUAUAUAUAUACUUAAUGGAAAGUCAAAGAAGUCUCCUGCUUGUUACAAAUUUUUGCGCAAAACCAUUAUACCCUUUUUUACCUACUUUCAGCGGGUACAGGGUAUUAGAAGGACGACAGCGAAUAGAGAACGCUUAACUAACGGAAAGGCAGCCGCUGCCAGUCGGCCUACAAAUUGCUGGAGUCACGCCAAAAUACCGUUAGAAAGUUUUGUUCCGACCGUUGAGCUCCACCGUGUUUCAGCGACCACCCACGCCCACCAGCCGCCCCCGCGUGCGGUGGGAUAUAUACAGUAUACACAGCAUACUCUAAGCACUGAGUACGGUAAAAGUAUCAAUUUCACUUUAUCAAAUGGUAACAAUCGCAGUGCUAGAGAUUAAAAUAAUAAUCGAAAAGGAUAAGAAAGACGAAAGAAAGCAAAGAAAUGCGUUCAAGCAAACAGUCGGCGACGUCGGCCAAUCUUAAAGUGCAGAUCAAUGGCAGAGCAGACAGCAGCAGCAGCAGCAGCAGACAUCACUCAACAUAAUUAACGCCAUAUAAAAAGAACGCGCUCGGAUUGGCAACAGCAUCCGCAUUCGGGUCCAAACAGUAGCUAUGCCAAGGUAGCUGAUGCGGCGCCUGCAGGAUUUGUCCAAAUGUUAAUGAUGAUCCCUCCAGUUCACAUUCAAACGGAGAGGGUAGUUGCCAGUCCCUGUGUGCGAGUGUGUGUGUGUGUGUGUGUGUGUGUGCGUGCGCGCCGCCGUCGUUUGUUUUUGUAUUUAAUCAUUGCACUGGUGCUAAUCCUGAGGGCGGCAUGUUGUUUGUUUUGGUUUUAGGCAGAUUUGCCAAAUGCUGAUGCGAUUUUAAUUAGGGCACGCAUAUGACAUUUAUUUGCAUAUAUUUCAAAAUAGUUAAUCUAAAUCAUUAGGGUAUAUUAAAAGCAACAAAUUUCGAA